UUUAUUAUUACAUAUUUUAAUUCAAGCUUUUAGUACAAUAGUCUCUUAUAUUUUUUUAAUCUCUAAUGGCAGAUUUCAAACUAUAAGGUAUGCUUAUGUGUUUGUGAGUGUGCAAUAGAUUCUGAAAAGACACUUCUUUGUAAAUCUGUUUUAUUAGAAUUAUGAAUUGAAAAAGAAUUGACUUGAAUAGGUUUUUAUGCAGAUUUUAAGUUGGGUUUGAAAUCUGCAACGAUAUACAAUUACGAAACACAUACGAUUAUAAUUUUGUUUUAAGGUUCGAUUUUAAGUUGGGUGUUAAGUUCGUCAAGGCACACAAUAACCAACAGAAUAAGGAUGACAGAGUACCAUUAUCCAACUUUUGAACAUUUAUAUCCUAGCGGGGUACAACGAUAUGAUGUACGAGCCCGACUAAUUCGUAAUUAUGAUAUUUUCAACUACAACCACAAAGGAACAACUAAGAAAGCAUGGAAAAUGCUUUUUGUCGAUGUUGAGGGUGAGGGCAUACAGUGCAAUAUUUACGAGCCCGCAAUUGAAAAGUUUAUAGGACGGUUUCAAGAGGGAUUCAUUUAUAUACUCCUUGCUGUACAAGUGAUAUUUGCUGAAGGGAAAAACAAAAUUGUCCCCAAUUGGAAACAGAUGAUCAUUAAAGAAGAAACAAAUGUGAUACGUGAAGAGGAGGAUGACAUUUCCAUACCUUCAUUCCACUAUAAUUUGGUUCAUUUGAACAGAUUAAGUUGUCAC